AACGCACCUUGCGCUCCUAGGUCUUCCGAGGAGCAUGCCUGUUUGAGUGUCCAGAAUAUCCAUCAAACCUUCAUCUUUCUUGAGAUGGCAAGGUUUGGAUUUGGAGGGCUCUGCUGUCGGCAUCUGCCACGGCUCCUCCGAAAUGCAUUAGCUGGCCUGAUGAUGGCUUGCCAUUGGCUUGAUAGAUGUCUAGCCCCGGUGGCCGUCUGUCUGCUGCUUCAAAUUGUUCCAUCCCGGAACACCUCUUUGAAAUCGGACCUCAGAUCAGGUAGGACUACCCGCUGAACUUAA
rnacentral:misc_RNA from 1 species